rnacentral:rRNA from 1 species
GUGGGGAAUAUUGGACAAUGGGCGCAAGCCUGAUCCAGCCAUGCCGCGUGAGUGAUGAAGGCCUUAGGGUUGUAAAGCUCUUUCAGUAGGGAAGAUAAUGACGGUACCUACAGAAGAAGCCCCGGCUAACUUCGUGCCAGCAGCCGCGGUAAUACGAAGGGGGCUAGCGUUGUUCGGAUUUACUGGGCGUAAAGCGCACGUAGGCGGAAUGUUAAGUCAGAGGUGAAAUCCUGGAGCUCAACUCCAGAACUGCCUUUGAUACUGGCAAUCUCGAGUCCGGAAGAGGUGAGUGGAACUCCUAGUGUAGAGGUGGAAUUCGUAGAUAUUAGGAAGAACACCAGUGGCGAAGGCGGCUCACUGGUCCGGUACUGACGCUGAGGUGCGAAAGCGUGGGGAGCAAACAGGAUUAGAAACCCCAGUAGUCC